UGGGGAAUAUUGCACAAUGGGCGCAAGCCUGAUGCAGCCAUGCCGCGUGUGUGAAGAAGGCCUUCGGGUUGUAAAGCACUUUCAGCGAGGAGGAAGGUGGUGAGCUUAAUACGCUCAUCAAUUGACGUUACUCGCAGAAGAAGCACCGGCUAACUCCGUGCCAGCAGCCGCGGUAAUACGGAGGGUGCAAGCGUUAAUCGGAAUUACUGGGCGUAAAGCGCACGCAGGCGGUUUGUUAAGUCAGAUGUGAAAUCCCCGGGCUCAACCUGGGAACUGCAUUUGAAACUGGCAAGCUAGAGUCUCGUAGAGGGGGGUAGAAUUCCAGGUGUAGCGGUGAAAUGCGUAGAGAUCUGGAGGAAUACCGGUGGCGAAGGCGGCCCCCUGGACGAAGACUGACGCUCAGGUGCGAAAGCGUGGGGCAGCAAACAGGAUUAGAUACCCUGGUAGUCCACGCUGUAAACGAUGUCGAUUUUGGAGGUUGUGCCCUUGAGGCGUGGCUUCCGGAGCUAACGCGUUAAAUCGACCGCC
rnacentral:rRNA from 1 species